rnacentral:rRNA from 1 species
UACAGAGGGGGCAAGCGUUGUUCGGAAUUACUGGGCGUAAAGGGUGCGUAGGCGGCGGGGCAAGUCGGAUGUGAAAUCUCAGGGCUCAACCCUGAAACUGCAUUCGAUACUGCCUUGCUCGAGGACUGGAGAGGAGAUUGGAAUUCACGGUGUAGCAGUGAAAUGCGUAGAUAUCGUGAGGAAGACCAGUGGCGAAGGCGGAUCUCUGGACAGUUCCUGACGCUGAGGCACGAAGGCCAGGGGAGCAAACGGG